ensembl:lncRNA
CCUACUCUGCAGGAACCAUCCACUCUUCCUCACCAGCUAUUUGUACCGGCGCUAUUGGCUUUCCCUUAAGUGGACACGAGAAUGAAGGAACGCAUUGGCGGGAUUUUUACCUGGACGGAAGGAUUGUCCACACGGAUGCAGAAGGAGUCAGAACCAACAGCAGCAUCAUCUCCAAGAAAAGAAAAUACACAGAGGGAUUCUCAAACCGCCGCGAAGUUAAAGCGAAGAGCUUGUUUCUGAACCUUGGACCCUAAAGGUCGCCCUGCUGUAAUUCAUCAUAUUCCCGCCUGAGGAAUGUUGAAGGCUUCAUUUCAUUUGGCCAAUAAGUCAAGCCCCCCCCCCCCCCCC